AAAGAAAGUUCCCUUGUUUUUCUUUUGUUUUUCUUUUUUUUCUCCUUUUUUUUUUGCUCGUUUUUCCUUUCU
rnacentral:ribozyme from 1 species